GGAAAAGAAGCUUGGGGCUCCAGACGAUACUGCAUUAUGGUGAACUGUGUCAUUAUUUCAUUAUAUGUUACAACAUAAUAAUAAUAGAAAUAAAGUAUACAAUGAAUGUAAUACACUUGAAUCAUCCCAAAACCACCCAACCCCCAGUCUGUAGAAAAUUUGGUUUCCACAAAGUUCAUCCCUGCCAAAAAGGUUGGGGACUUUUGCCAUAGAGUAUAUUUAUUACUUAUUAGAACCUCUUAUUACAUUCUGGGACAAUUAUCACUCACUGUUCUCAACUGCCCAAUUGUGAAAUUCCUUGUCUGAAAUAGUUUCUGAGGCUCUGAGGUUUGAUACAGCAGGUGUGAUGGAGACAGCAUGCUUUACAUCUGCACUUGUGUUGAAGUCAGGGUUUGCAAGGGAACAGAUUUAAUACAGGACACAUCAUUUAUAGGAUUAUUUUAUAGUAUUCACCCAAAAAGUCAAAGGCAGAGUAGUGCAAUAGAUGUGUCUAUGUGCUAGAGAUCCAAAAAUCCAGCCAAGGGUGUCCCACACAAGUGCAGCUGAAGGCCUAGAGUCCAAGGCAAUGUCCUCUAUGAGUCCAGCCAGAGGCCCAGAGGCCCAGAGCCCACAGCAAUGUCUCAUACCAGUCUUUAUCAAGGGUCUGCACUGGGAAGCCCCAAAGGCCAGUGGUGAAAGCUAGAAAGUUUUCUCCAAAGAAUGAAGGAUCUGUGCCACCAGGCUGCACUGGAGACAGGAAGAGACACUCAAAGCCAAGACCAGAGCUGCCCUGAUGAGAACAACAGCCAUCCCCAGUGACAAUGAGGAUCCAAGCUCCUCUAAUGAUGUGAACAACCAAGUUCAUAUCAGGAAAACCAGCCACCAUAGAAAGCUUUUCCCGGAAAAUCAGCAGGCCACAAUCUUCUCCUCCAGUUAUCCUUUUAUACUGUUGGCAGCAGCUCUCAGGUUCCUCUUCCAUACCCAGAAUCACGCUGACCCAGUUCAGCUAGGCAUGCCAAGUUAGCCAUUCGUUAGUCCACCAGAACCUGUGAGGGGUGACAGAGGUGAGAUCCGGCAGAAGGAGAUGCGAAACUGAUGGAGUUGGAAUGCAAUUCAAUCCCACAGGGAGCCCUGGAGCUGAGAGGGUUGAGAUAAGAUUGAGACAGUGUCCAACUAAGUUGCCCAAGCGGCACUCAAACUUGUGGUCCUUCUACCUCAGCUUCUAAAGAGGUUUUUAAUAAAGACCAAGG
rnacentral:lncRNA from 1 species